rnacentral:misc_RNA from 1 species
GAAAUGCGAUAAGUAGUGUGAAUUGCAGAAUUCAGUGAAUCAUCGAAUCUUUGAACGCACAUUGCGCCCCUUGGUAUUCCAUGGGGCAUGCCUGUUCGAGCGUCAUUUGUACCCUCAAGCUCUGCUUGGUGUUGGGUGUUUGUCCCGUCUCCGCGCGUGGACUCGCCCCAAAGUGAUUGGCAGCCGGCGUACUGGUCCCGGAGCGCAGCACAUGUCGCGCAAACGAGUGCCUUGGUACGGCGGCGUCCAUAAGCCCCUCUCUCACGCUCUUGACCUCGGAUCAGGUAGGGAUACCAGCUGAACUUCAGC